UACGUAGGAUGCAAGCGUUGUCCGGAAUUAUUGGGCGUAAAGAGCGCGCAGGCGGUCUAUCAAGUCAGAUGUGAAAUAUCCCGGCUUAACCGGGAGGGGUCAUUUGAAACUGGUAGACUAGAGUACAGCAGAGGAUAGCGGAAUUCCCGGUGUAGUGGUGAAAUGCGUAGAUAUCGGGAGGAACACCGGUGGCGAAGGCGGGUCUCUGGGCCGAUAUCGACGCUGAGGAGCGAAAGCGUGGGGAGCGAAACAGGAUUA
rnacentral:rRNA from 1 species